AUUGAACGCUAGCGGGAUGCCUUACACAUGCAAGUCGAACGAGUGGCGGACGGGUGAGUAAUGUAUCGGAACGUGCCCGGUAGCGGGGGAUAACGAUUGGAAACGAUAGCUAAUACCGCAUAUCACGUAUUGGACCUGCUUGGUAGUGGCUGGUUGGGGAGGUAACGUCGCACCAAGGCGACGAUACAUAGCAGACCUGAGAGGGUGACCAGCCCAACUGGAACUGAGAAACGGUCCAGACUCCUACGGGAGGCAGCAGGGGGGAAGAUUGCACAAUGGGCGCAAGCCUGAUGCAGCCAUGCCGCGUGUAUGAAGAAGGCCUGCGGGUUGUAAAGUACUUUCAGCGAGGAGGCGUUACUCGCAUAAGAAGCACCGGCUAACUCCGUGCCAGCAGCCGCGGUAAUAC
rnacentral:rRNA from 1 species